GGUGGCUCAGUGGUAGAGUGCUUGCCUUGCAUGCAUGAGGCUCUGGGUUUGAAUCCCCAGCACCA
rnacentral:tRNA from 1 species